UACGGAGGGAGCUAGCGUUGUUCGGAAUUACUGGGCGUAAAGCGCGCGUAGGCGGCUUUGUAAGUUAGAGGUGAAAGCCCGGGGCUCAACCCCGGAACUGCCUUUAAAACUGCAUCGCUUGAAUCCGGGAGAGGUGAGUGGAAUUCCGAGUGUAGCGGUGAAAUGCGUAGAGAUUAGGAAGAACACCAGUGGCGAAGGCGACUUACUGGACUGUAACUGACGCUGAGGCAUGAAAGCGUGGGGAGCAAACAGG
rnacentral:rRNA from 1 species